AUACGACAAGCGUUUGCUUGAGGUUAUUAAUUAACUUAAAGCCAAGAUAUAAUCAGCCAUUGCCUUCGUUUCCGGUUCGGAGAACGCGCGCGGUCCGGCGUAAGUCUCGUGGCAAGGGUCCAAGCUCGCCCCACCCUCUUCCAUUUCACCCCAAUGGUAGUCAAAGUUUCUAUUCGGGUCAACACCCUCGCAUUUGCCCCAUAACCACCCUGUAUAAUGGUUCACUAGCUGGAGAAACCUAAAAUGGAGCAACAUACCCG
rnacentral:misc_RNA from 1 species